UUGGGAAAUCGGGUGAUCAUUCUCCGCCACAUUUUUUUGUAAAACAAAAAUUUGGGCGGGGGGAAGGAAAGUCCGAACACUCUCCCGCUUUUAGCGGGAUCCCGCAAAAUGCGGGAUCCCGUCGCAGCGGGAUAAAAUGGUAGCGGGCAAUUCCCGUCCCCCGCAGCAAUGCGAGAAGAGGUGCGAACAGAGACGCUGAGACCCGAAAGGGUUGAAGCGUCCGCCACAUUUUUUCGCUUCGCGAAAAAUCGGGCGGACGAAUCCCUUAGGAAACUUUGGGAGUGAAACGGUUAAAUCCUUACCGGGGUGCAAGAACAAAUCAGGAAUUUUGCUUUCAUGUAAAAUUUCUGGAAAAGUAGUUCGCUUGACCCCGCAAGUAAUUGCGGGGCUAGAUAGAUGAUCACACAAAUACAGAAUUCGGCUUAUAGAUUUCCCAAAACA
rnacentral:RNase_P_RNA from 1 species